AUGUUUAAUCAACUACCACCCGGGGUUUCGUGCGAACUGGGGCUGGUUGUGGUGUACCUUGGUCAAGGGUGGAGUCUGUAUGUCUUUGACACGCUGCGAAGGGUUCUUCAUUUAAUUGAUCCAAACAUUUGCAAGCCUGCUGAGAGCCAGAUGAAAGCAAAGCACUUGCGGAAUGCAGAGGAGCUGUUGGAUGCAUUCUUGAAGUGUGGUGAGAUGUUCUGGGGGGAGGGGAAGGUGCCACACAAUGGAUGGUCUUAUUGUUUCCACCCUACGUGCACCUAUGAGAGCUCUGACACGGCUAUGCAGGUUGUGCACCACAUAAUCAACUUUGUCCCUGGGCAGCAUCCGAUGAACUUGACUGAGUCUUCUUCAAUUGCUGUCAAGAAGAAGCUUCUUCAGGCCCACCUCACGAUGGUGGGUAACACUGGCAGCCUACCCUGCCAUGUUGAAGCAUGA
rnacentral:rRNA from 1 species